AUAAUCAAAUGCCAGAGUGACGUAUUCAUUCCUGAGCUGUUUCACAUACACCGUGAGAUUUGCAGCCUGCAACUCCUUGACAACAUUGGUUUGACUCACAAUGAAGAAAUCGGCAAUUUCAAGUAUGGCGCCUCUCGUAAUGCACCGACGUAUCAUCCGACUGGAUCAAGACUUGUUGAGUGGACUGCUUGUCGAAAGUGGCAUUGCUUAAGGCACUGGUUACUGCUCCUACAAUGUCAAGACCUUCCUUUGAUGCUAGAUAGGCAGCAUUCUGAAAAGAACAAGAAAAAGAAAGAACAUGACUAUGAAUUUCUUUGUGAAUAAAAAUUUGAAGUUGGAAUUUUCACCUCUCAGUUCUGAAUU